UGAAAUCCCAUUAACACAUUUGGAGGUAGUAUUUCCUUUUGAGGGCCGAACCAUUGCCACCAAUGAUUAAACCAAAUUGGAAAUUCUCUGUUACAGCUUUCUUUGAUUGUGAAGAACCAUGAAUGAUUGAAUGGUCUAUAUAAAAAAGCACGAUACCAUGCCAUUUUAUAAUCUUGAUAUGUGAAUCCAUCUGGAAUAAAUCUGACUGAGAAUGAUUUUUUGGAAUAAAGAGAAGUCCAUUCGUUUGGUGAACAAACUUUCUUUAUUAUACACUUGGAAUGACUAAUUAUAUUUGGAUUCUUUUUGUCUGGAAUGGGGAAUAUUUCUACAGAUUGAGUAUCUGUAAGAAUUAAUUCGUAAUAAUCCAAAUUUUUUGAAGGAUCAUCGGGUUGCCAAUAACAUUUUUGAGGAAAGAUUCUUUG
rnacentral:lncRNA from 1 species